GUGAGGAAUAUUGGUCAAUGGACGCAAGUCUGAACCAGCCAAGUCGCGUGAAGGACGACGGCCCUACGGGUUGUAAACUUCUUUUGCAAGGGAAUAAAGUGGCCCACGUGUGGGCUUUUGCAUGUACCUUGCGAAUAAGGAUCGGCUAACUCCGUGCCAGCAGCCGCGGUAAUACGGAGGAUCCGAGCGUUAUCCGGAUUUAUUGGGUUUAAAGGGUGCGCAGGCGGGAUGUUAAGUCGGCGGUGAAAUUUUGCGGCUCAACCGUAAAAGUGCCUUCGAAACUGGCAUCAUUGAGUAUGGAUGAAGUAGGCGGAAUUCGUGGUGUAGCGGUGAAAUGCAUAGAUAUCACGAAGAACCCCGAUUGCGCAGGCAGCUUACUAAACCAUAACUGACGCUCAUGCACGAAGGCGUGGGGAUCAAACAGGAUUAGAAACCCCUGUAGUCC
rnacentral:rRNA from 1 species